ACGGUAACAGGAGAGAGCUUGCUCUCUUGCUGACGAGUGGCGGACGGGUGAGUAAUGCUUGGGAAUCUGCCUAUAGAUGGGGGAUAACCAUUGGAAACGAUGGCUAAUACCGCGUGAUAUCGAGAGAUUAUAGAGUGCUUUUAGUACUUGUCUAUAGAUGAGCCCAAGUGAGAUUAGCUAGUUGGUGAGGUAAUGGCUCACCAAGGCGACGAUCUCUAGCUGGUUUGAGAGAAUGACCAGCCACACUGGAACUGAGACACGGUCCAGACUUCUACGGAAGGCAGCAGUGGGGAAUAUUGGACAAUGGGGGCAACCCUGAUCCAGCCAUGCCGCGUGUAUGAAGAAGGCCUUAGGGUUGUAAAGUACUUUCGGUAAUGAGGAAGGUAAUUAUUGAAGGAUAGUUGCUUGACGUUAGUUACAGAAGAAGCACCGGCUAACUCCGUGCCAGCAGCCGCGGUAAUACGGAGGGUGCGAGCGUUAAUCGGAAUUACUGGGCGUAAAGGGCACGCAGGCGGAUUGGCAAGUUAGAUGUGAAAGCCCCGAGCUUAACUUGGGAAUUGCAUUUAAAACUACUAAUCUAGAGUUGUUUAGGGAGGGGUAGAAUUUCUCGUGUAACAGUGAAAUGUGUAGAGAUGAGAGGGAAUACCGAAGGCGAAGGCAGCCCCUUGGGAACAAACUGACGCUCAUGUGCGAAAGCGUGGGGAGCAAACAG
rnacentral:rRNA from 1 species